rnacentral:misc_RNA from 1 species
CUUCUAGUCAGAUUAUGUGAAAACUAAUAAAACAAAAAAUAAUUGACAAAUACAGAUUUCAUCCAAUGAAAAAACCUUAAAUUUAUCAAGAAACUAAAAUUAAUAUAGCCAACAAAAGAAUUAAGAAUCACAAACAAAUUCAGAAUUAGCAAAACCUAAAAACAAAUGCUUUAUAUAACCUGUAGAAUAGGUUUUUGGUAGCAUGGGAUGAGAUUUGGACCAAUAAUAGAGAUUGUUUAAAAGGAGUGCAUAAAAUUAGCAUUGCUAAAAUUCCUCUUCACACUUUUGGCAAACUUGAUAUAAACAGGAUGACAACAGUGACCAAGCCACAAAAGCAUCUUUCAAAAUGCAAAAUUCAAUCCAUAAGUUAUUGAUAAAAAUUCUAAAAACCUUAUUCCAUAGAUGGCUGUCUACUAUACAUUAGGGUUGAGUUGGACAUAAUCCAGUACCAAGCUACUAAUAUUUAAUAUGAUACCAACAUAAGUGGUGUUUACGUACCAUGCUAAAUUCAAGUGAUACUACACUUUCUAAACAGAAAGGAGAAGAGCAAAGUUCCAAGAUUGCUAAUAGUAAUAGGCCAUUGCAGUCACCCAAUUUAAGACAUUCAAAUGAACUGGAAAAGGAAAACAAGGAUGGAGAUAGAGAGAAGAACAGUUCUACUUGGCUAAGGAACAAAUGUCAAAGUUCCUAUGGCAUAAGGAUUAGGUUCUUUUGGCAAAGCAUCAAAGAGAUGGCAACGGAAGGAUUAGGUUUAAGCUUCUAGCCUAAAUAAUAAAAAAUGACCAGAAAAUUACCACUGGGCUAGCGGAAAACAAAUAUUAAAACUAACAGUCUACUGGAGGAGCAUUCUUCUUAAUUAAUUCCCCAUUUUCAUAAAGACCACCAACAUGUUUUCAAUACUACAAUAAAAAGCCCUCUGCCACUCAUUAGCCAAAGUACAAAUAGAAAUGCCCGUCAAUCCAUCUAUCACUUGAUUAUUCAUUAAAAAUGGCCAAAUCAGUUGGUUAAAUGGAAAAACUUCAGGCAUAAGCCUUAUCGGAAUUCAGG